rnacentral:rRNA from 1 species
UACGAAGGGGGCUAGCGUUGCUCGGAAUCACUGGGCGUAAAGGGUGCGUAGGCGGGUUUUUAAGUCCGGGGUGAAAUCCUGGAGCUCAACUCCAGAACUGCCUUUGAUACUGAAGAUCUUGAGUUCGGGAGAGGUGAGUGGAACUGCGAGUGUAGAGGUGAAAUUCCUAGAUAUUCGCAAGAACACCAGUGGCGAAGGCGGCUCACUGGCCCGAUACUGACGCUGAGGCACGAAAGCGUGGGGAGCAAACAGG